rnacentral:lncRNA from 1 species
GAAGAAAUAGCUGCCGAUUUGCUUUCGGGUCUAGAUGGUCAGAAAGUUGCUGGACCAGUAACUAAAUCUCACUUAAACAUGCGAUAUCCUAGCAAAGAUUUUAGAUUGAGAACAUCAUGGAACCGAAAAACCCCGUUGCAUUUCGAGGAUUCAGCUUUUAACAAGCUAAUUGAUUCUCUUGAUUCAUCAAAAUUAGGACUAGAAGAUUACGAAUUUCUUUCGGAGUUUGAGGUAUGUCCGCAACCUGAACAUUCCUCGACCUCAAAUGAAGGUUCCUCUGAUUGCGUUGUUGAAGAUUCUCAAGAGUCGAAUGGCAUUCAUGAUGACAUUGAGUUUCAAAGUACACCUACAUCCUUUCAGAGGGACAUUUCCGCUCUAUCCCACCAACAAGCAGAUAUAACUGCGAAAGUAGAUCUUAAAGAGAAUGCCAUGCCAACAAGUGAUGGAGAUCAUGUGUCCGAGGCGAUGAACAUCGAGCCACGGAAACUUCAUAAGCGUGUACUUGUUGGCGGAGCGAUGAAACACAACUGUAAAAGUACCGAAGGCAUGUAAGGCUUUGACAAAGGUUGGACUUGCGACGGCAUUGUGAAUGUUGUUUAUUAAUACACCAUAGUUUUAUGAUGUAGAUUGAAGUAAAAUGAAAGGAAGAAGAAUUAUAAAGCUAAAAAAGGAAGAGGAAAUUACUAAGUACAACAUAUAUGUUCCUUUGGGUAUAGAUUAAAUUUAAUUUGAGAAAAUUUUUAAUAGUAUUCGAAAAAAAAUAAGAUCUAUCGUGAUUAGGAGUUACUCAAAUUAAGUUUCAAAAUAUUAGAUUUAAUUUGAUAUUUUGAAUUUUAAUUCAAACUUGAUUUGAUAAUAUCAAGGGUAAUUUUAAAUUUUUUAAUUAAAAUACAUCAUUAUUUUAUGAUUAAAUUCCAUAAAAAUAUAAAAUACAUUUUAUUUUAACUGUUUAUUUAUUUAUAAGUUAAAGAUUAGUUAUAUAGAAAAAAUAAAGAUUAAGGUUAUUGUUUGAAAGACAUGUUGUAAAAGUUGUUAAUUCCAAAUGCAGGGUUAAAAGAGUAUCGUAUGCUUCAUUUAUGUAUUUUUAUUUUUUAAAAUAUUAAUAAAUGACAUUUGUCAAUCUCAUGAUUUCGUUUAUGGAAUUAAUUUUUUUUAUUACAAGCGCAUCAAAUAAUUGGAUCAAUUCAAAUAAUUUUAAAAGGUAUUGAUAAAAAAAAUUUAAAAGUUAAGAUAAAUGAGAUUUAAAGAUUUUAUUCAAACUAGUAAUUGAAUCACACGAUUGUUGAGUAGUAAAUCUUGGUAUUAAGUAUGAGGGGAUUUAAUUAAAAAAAUUUUAAACUUUUGAAAGGCUUAAUGAGAAUUUUUUUAAAAAAAAUUUUAAGGUGGCCUAAUUCUUUGGGAGAACAAUUCAGUCCUACAUAAGCAUAUGAAAAUAAGAUAUAAUAAUGUGUGUGGACUAAGUAUUUAAAACAAUUUGUGCGUACCUGUAAAAAUAACAUACAAUAUUAACAACGAAAUCAGAGGUUAAAGAGACGGCGCCGAUUAGCUGUCCGCCUUGACUGACCGUCUGGCAUCGUCUUGGCCCUCGAUUUUGCCCUUUUGCAAACCUCAUUUUACCAAUUCCCCGAAAUGGCAGUGAAACCCUCCAACUCCAAGGCCGACAAGUAAAUCCCGUAGGACGCGAAACUAUGUCAACUCUUAGAUGAGUACAC